UCUUAAAUGUAAACUAGCAAGAACGUUGCUUACCAGAGCACUAUGAAUAGUUUAUUUAAAACUCAAAGAACUUGGCGGUGCUCCACACUUCUCAGGGGAACCUGUUUCGUAAUCGACAGUCCACGUUGAACCUUUCCCGCUUUUGACCUUUUCAGUAUGUAUACCGUCGUCGUCAGGUAACUUCCAAAAAAUUAGUUGUUAGCAACAAAGAUAAUAUAAGCUUCUACGUCAGAUCAAGGUGCAGCCAAUAAGUAGGAGAGAAUGGGUUACAAUUAUAAGUUAUAAUUAUGAAUCAAAGAGUGAAAAACCUUUGUGAAGGAGGACUUGAAAGUAAAGACAUCCAAUGAAAAUUUUUUGAAUUUUAGCUCUGGAGCGUGC
rnacentral:rRNA from 1 species